AUACGUAGGUGGCAAGCGUUAUCCGGAUUUACUGGGUGUAAAGGGCGUGUAGGCGGAGAUGCAAGUCAGGAGUGAAAUCUAGGGGCUCAACCCCUAAACUGCUUUUGAAACUGUAUCCCUUGAGUAUCGGAGAGGCAGGCGGAAUUUCUAGUGUAGAGGUGAAAUGCGUAGAUAUUAGGAGGAACACCAGUGGCGAAGGCGGCCUGCUGGACGACAACUGACGCUGAGGCGCGAAAGCGUGGGGAGCAAACAGGAUUAGAUACCCUGGUAGUCCACGCUGUAAACGAUGAAUACUAGGUGUGGGGGGACUGACCCCCUCCGUGCCGCAGUUAACACAAUAAGUAUUCCACCUGGGGAGUACGAUCGCAAGAUUGAAACUCAAAGGAAUUGACGGGG
rnacentral:rRNA from 1 species